ACCAGUCACCUGUGUACCUUUGUACUUUCUACAGUGAAAGUUGCAACAGGAUCUCCCUUUCUCAAUAAAUUCAUCUGUGGUGGAGAAAAUCAGCAUGAGUACUACAGGCCAAGUUAUCAGAUGCAAAGCAGCCAUACUCUGGAAGCCUGGUGCACCAUUUUCUAUUGAGGAGGUAGAAGUGGCCCCACCAAAGGCAAAGGAAGUUCGCAUAAAGGUAAAAAAAAAAAAAAAAAAAAUCACACCAAAAGCCAAAAGCCAGAGCUUCUUACUGUAAGUUAUAUAUCUUAUCAGGAUAUUCAACUCAGAAAAAAAAAUAAUAAAACUACAUAUCUUUGUAUUUCUUUUUCAUUAAACAUUUCCAUCAAUUUUUAAAUCCAGCCAGAUAAAAGGUUACGGAGGUAAAGCAUAGGCUAACUGCCCAAAGGAUAAAACUCAGGCUUAUUUACAGGUAUUGUACUAAUUAUUAAUUUUAAAAAAUUCUACCCUCAAACCCUAUUUUAAUCUGUACUUGUAAAUUUUUAUGGCAUCAUUCAUAAUACUUGUCUUGAAAUAUUUUGAAUAAAAAUUGUUUGAUUACAGA
rnacentral:sRNA from 1 species